CUGAUUUAGAGCAAGGAACUUGUUAGUUUAGUUAAUUAUCUGUUGAUUAUUGCUUGAUUAACCACUUUUUAGUGUCAAAUUACUUUUCUUCUUUCUGUUUGAUUUGGUUGCACCUUGAUCUUCUCAAUGAGUUUAAACAACCAUACGCAUUGUUUGGUGGUGUCUUGCCUUCUCUAGAACUUCCUGAAAAUGAUUGCUCUCUUUGAAGCUUCGGUGGCAAUUAAAAUGCUGUAGGAUCAAAAUUUUCAAAAUGUGCAUAUAUUUCAUCAUAUAGAUGGUGCACUAGCUUUGUUUCUUACUCUGGCUGUAAUAUUUGGGUAAUUCAAGGACGAUGCUUCUUUGGUUUCCGGGAGUUGGUAUUCCUGUUUGUAAUUUUGAAUGGUCAUGAAAAUAGUGAUGUCUGAUCAUGAUAAUUUUUUCAUCUUCCUCUUUGGCUGGAGUUAAUUGCUGAUCACUUCCCUCGGUAUGAAUAGUAGUGACAAAGUUAAGAGUUGGAUUGUAGAAAAAUCUUCAAGAUUUUACUUUCCUUUUAGACAUAGCACUCAAGACCACAUAGCACUGGCAGUUUGUUGAAUUUGGUUGUUAUUUCUAAUAUCAAUCAUGAUUGUCAUCUUCCUUCAAAACUUCAAGCUUUCUUCAGUCUUGACUGCCAACUUUGACUUAUGAUUUACUCAAG
rnacentral:misc_RNA from 1 species